rnacentral:rRNA from 1 species
UACGUAGGGGGCUAGCGUUGUCCGGAAUCAUUGGGCGUAAAGCGCGUGUAGGCGGCCCGGUAAGUCCGCUGUGAAAGUCGGGGGCUCAACCCUCGGAUGCCGGUGGAUACUGUCGGGCUUGAGUACGGAAGAGGCGAGUGGAAUUCCUGGUGUAGCGGUGAAAUGCGUAGAGAUCCGGAGGAACACCGAAGGCGAAGGCAGUGUCCUGGCGCGUAACUGACGCUGAGGUGCGAAAGCCAGGGGAGCGAACGGG